rnacentral:misc_RNA from 1 species
AAGUCGUAACAAGGUUUCCGUAGGUGAACCUGCGGAAGGAUCAUUAACAUGUAUCCAAACGUUAAAACCCCCCUGUGAACCUUCACCACUUCUUAAGCCCUCCCGGGGGUAGAGCAGGAAAUCCCUAGUAAAUCAUUGUCUUAACAGGUUUUGAGUUAGGGACGUCCCCCACUACGGGACUUGUGCAGAAGAGAGUAUUGCCCUGGUGCCGGGGCCAUUACCACGACCUACUACGUGGCCUACGUCACCCCCCCGAGCAUGGCAAGCGGACGCGCCGAAAGGUUGUAUCCACCCCUAAAACCGAACAACUGUUAACAAUGGAUAUCUUGGUUCUC